CUCCCGCCUCGUGUCCGCGUCCCACCGCGGGAGGGGGGGGGGUGUCGGCCGAGCCCCGGUCCUCGCAGCCAACCGCGCCGCGGUUGUGCCGGCCGCAGCUCUGCGCCGGCUCGUUUUAUUCGUUCCUUCCUCCCGUAGCGGAAAGUGCGAAGGAAGAUCUCCCAUCUGAAGGGCAGAACGGCGAUGCGGGGUGGGGGGGGGGGGGGCGCGCUGCGGGAGGCACUGCGCACACGGAGCUCCGGCACUCGAGCUGCUAACGUGGGUCGGAGCCGAGGUGCGGGAGGCAGAGCCGUGCGUUGCUGAGCGCUGCCUUACCCGGCUCUCGUUGCUGUCGGCAGCGUUCAUUGGAAUAAAAGUCAAAAUGCACAAACGACUUUUCUUUUUUUCUCUUCCUGGCGGACGAAGCUUCGCAGCCUUCUCAAACGGUGCUAAAUCCAGCGGGGAGGAACGGCGCCGGGGGAGCCUCGCAGCACAGCGCCGCAGCCCCGCAGCCCCGCAGCCCCGCGCCGCUCCUAACCCGGUGCCGCAGCCGCUCCCGCUGCUCGCUGUGCCCGCACGGAGCCGUUCUGCACAAAUGAAUGCGAAAAGUAAUUCCGUCCGGAGCUUCGCCCAGACGCAUCAGUCGGGAGUCGGCACCUCCGCCGUAUCCGAGCCCGCGACCGGAUCGAAAUGAGAGCUUCGGCCGUGCGAGGGGCGGCCGCCGCCCGGAGCGACUCGUGCGAAGUCCGCUGGGAUGUACCCGCAGCUCCCGGAGAACAGAAUUCAUGUUACAAAUACCUCCUCGCCCGGUGAAGUCGCAUCUCACCGCCGCUGUGAGCACAGCCCCGCCCGGGGGUGCCCGCAGGUACCGGGGGGACGCAGCCGAGCUGCGGAGAAGGGACGGCUCUUUGGGGGCGCCGAAGGGUCUUUUUAAAGUGACCGCCGGACCCGCAGCAGUCCGUCACCCUCAGCUCUGCCAGCGGCUCCCGCUCCCGUACAACGCCCGCAACAGCGGCAGCUCCCGCCCCCCGCCCGGGACCGCUGCCCGUCGGCCGGGAGGGGCGAUUCCUUCCGUCGAUGGUUACGCGGUGGGCGCAGCUCGAGGCGGCAGCGCGUUCCCCGCAGCAGCCGCGCAGCGCCCGGAGGUGCGGCUUCAGAUUUGAAUAUCCUGGGGCUCUUCCGUUCUUGAUCCGGGCUUCAGCUCUGAGCCGGAGGUUGGUGUCGGUGUCCGAAGGACCGGCAGGGAGCACACAGCUGCACAGAUUCCUUAAAAGCAAAUGGAAGUCACAGAUGUACAAACAGAGGAAGGAUUUGGGCCAUUUUUGUUACAGUCUGAAGAAAAGUCAAAUAUAAUCUACCAGCACCAAGAUGCUGUGCAGGUUCUCUGUGAUAAAGCAAAGAAGAAUACAAGGAGGGACCGGUGCAGGCAAUUAACAUCAACUGUUAGGACACUGAUUGCAGCUUGCUAAGGAGAGCUGAUAUGGUGAUACGUGCCUGUGUGUGCAGGCAGAGAAACCUCAUGGCAGAGAACAGAAACACCGCACUCACCUCCACAGCUCCCAGCAUUAUUAAAACAAAGAAGCUGCCCAGCUGGGGAGACUGCAUGCAGAAUAUGGUGUGCAAUAACAAACCUUUCUCUGAUCCUCCAGCCAUUUAAAUGUCAG
ensembl:lncRNA